UUCUCGUUAGAUCACCGAAGUCAAGCAUCAUUGGACGCGGUCAGUAGGUGGGUGACCACCUGGGAACACCGCGUGC